rnacentral:rRNA from 1 species
UACGUAGGGUGCAAGCGUUGUCCGGAAUUAUUGGGCGUAAAGAGCUUGUAGGCGGUCUGUCACGUCGGACGUGAAAAUCCAGGGCUCAACCCUGGACCUGCGGUCGAUACGGGCAGGCUAGAGUUCGGUAGGGGAGACUGGAAUUCCUGGUGUAGCGGUGAAAUGCGCAGAUAUCUGGAGGAACACCGGUGGCGAAGGCGGCAUCCUGGACCGAUAUUGACGCUGAUGAGCGAAAGCCAGGGGAGCAAACGGG